CAAGGUAGUCCAUCCCUCCCAGAAAUGGUGGGAGGUCCCAUAGAUGCCUCUUUUGCAAAAAAAUACAGAAAUCCCAGACCUAAUUCUUUGCAUGUUGGUGAUGCUGAGGACUAUUGCCUUGAAGCCUUGGGCUGAAGCCAAGUCUGAGACAGGCCAGCAGAAAUGCUGAAGUGUGUAAGACACCUGGAGAGCACAGCAGUCGUAGUUGGUACCUGUUUCUGCAAGUCCUGGACACUCCUCAUUCACAGUGGUGGAAAAAUUGAUAUCCAGCUGCUUCAUCAUCUUGUCUGCAGAUGUGUGAUACACUCCCGAAGGGCCAGUACACUUCAUCCAGAAAGCCAGCAAUGAUAGCUUCUUGUGGAACUCUGGAAUUGCUGGAGGAAAAGACAAUAUGAACAAUGAAACAAAACAGUGCUAGAAGCAUCAACUUCCAGAAGAGAAAAGAUGCAGGAUGUGAGAAAAUCUGCUCCUGAUCCAGUUCUGGGCAUUCACGUCUCUUCCUUUUAAAUACCACAAAAUACUAGGGAAAUUCCACAAGCAUUCUACACAAGACUUGUCCCUUCCUAGCACUGCUUUGUGGCCUUGGGUAAGUCACUCAAUCUUGCUUUCAUUUUCUGAUAAACAAAGUAAAUAGACCAUGUUGUAUUUAUGUAUCAUGUCAGAGUGUUCACAAGGGUAACUAUGUGCUUGUCAAAUUCUUCCAGUGCAUUAAAAUAGAUGAAUCAACAGGAAAAAUAACUAAAUAAUUCUUCAUAAAGAUGACAAAAUAAAAUUGAUAAAAUGUUCAAAAAAGUUGUAUUAUGCCUCUCAUAGUUAUAAGGCAGAUCCUGCCUUUCCUUGGGAAAGAGGAAAGCAAGGUGGAGGAAGAAUUUGGCUAUUCAGAGGCGGCAGCAUCCCCACUCCAUUAUAGUGGUGGUGGACCUCUGUGCAUCUUCUGCACAACAGGCAGGAUAAGAAGUUCUUUCUCUUCUCAGUUGUUUGGUUAGAUACCAGAGCUGAAGACAGAAUAAUGUCCCUGACCUGCUGUGGUCAGCAACUGCUACAUCUGCUGGUGAGUCAUGAGUUGGCCCUUACUAUGGUGGCAUCUCUUCCAGUGAUGGUGAGCUCUGCACAGCGCUCAUUUCAGCAGGCAUGCAUGCCCAAACAAACCAUUUUCAGAAGGACACCCCCUAAACUG